rnacentral:lncRNA from 1 species
GGCAUGGGCAGGAGAGAAAUGCCACCAAACAGUUGUCAGGAGGCCUGGCUCAAGGCCUAACCCAUGCCAAUAUGUGUAUAGCUUUGGAUAAACCACCUAGACUCUCUCUGUUUUCGUUUACAUACCAAGAAAAUGGGGAUAAAAUGUCUCAUAACAUGUUCUUUGGAUUAUUGUGGAACCCAAAUGGAAUCCUGCAGGUCAAAUUCUUUGAAAACUUUAAAGCAUUAUUUAGACAUCACGACUUAUUGUUUUGCUUUACUAGUAGGGCAUCUAGGUUUUCAUACUAGAAACAUAUUUAGAGCAGCAGUUGGCACCAUCCUAAGAUUGGACAGUUUCUUCCCAAGAACUGAAUUUUGUUGUUUUGGUCUAUUUUGUUUUCCUUUUCUCCCUAAAAUCUACCUUUCUCCUGGGAAACUGAUGGUUGGCCUGAUUCAAGCCUGGUGUGCUUGUCCUUUUCUUUACCUGGCACCAGAUUUCAGUUGCUUAGAUGUCAGAUGCUCUGGUGAGCAUCUCCAGCACAGGCUGCAUUUCCCUGCUUGUUCCACAAGCUGUCAGGACAACAGGAAAUUUUAGAGUUGGCAUCAGAGUAUAACCCAGCCACGCUGGACUCUGUUUUCUCCAAGAGAUAAGCUUAGUUGACUGUGAAGGCGAAUGGAGGGUAAUUCUGCGGAAAAUCGCAGGGAAUUGGCCCAUUUGGGUGCCAUGUUGUGGCGAUCUUGUGUGCAUUGGGCGAAUUGAUUUUCAAUGAAAACAUCACCUCUGUCUGUUCCUUUUUUGCUGACAGCACACAGAAGGAAUGCUGAGCCAAGGGAAAUGAUUGCAAAGUUUGGCCUGGGAUCUUCUCCACACCCAGACAUGUAAUCAUCUCCUAGCAGAAGCAGCCUCUGGGGGUCAGCUCAACUGCAGUAUGAUUAUUGAUUGGCCCUUCAUGCUUUCCUCUCCUCUAUCUAACCAUUGUUCUCUCCUUCAAAAUUUUGCUUUUAUGAAAGAGCCUGUUAUCAUCAAUUAAGCCUUAGAAUGUUAUCAUCAAUUAAGACUAUAAUGCAAUGAGCUGAAACGAUGAAUCAAGAGACUUGCAUUCAGCCCUGAGUUUCCCACUGGGGAUCUGAGUGAGUGAAAGCCAUCACUGAGGCCCAACUGCUUCCAGUGUCAACCAAGUGAGGAAUAAGAAUACUAAGCUUCCCCAAUUUUUGCCUUGUGUAGUUGGGAGGCUCAAAUAAAAUUAAAAAUAAUUAAAAAUAGAAAGGCACUUCAACAAAUGGAAAGUUACAGUAAUUUAGAAGGAUUUUCAUUAUUACUAUCAGUGGUAGUAGUAGUAUUUGUACUGGUAAGAGCAGCAGUAGUGGUGGUCCUUAUAGAUCCUAGAGUCUUAGUGCUAGAAAUAAUCAAUUUCUCACCAAAUAUAAUACUGUAUUACCUAUUAGCUUCAUGAUCAUAAUUACUGUUUUACAUGCUCCUUCUAUUCUGUUUUCUUCAGGGCAUUUUUUUUUCUUUUUUUUUUUUUGUCUUUUUGUCUUUUCCAGGGCUGCACCUGGAGGUUCCCAGGGUAGGGGUCUAAUCGGAGCUAUAGCUGCUGGCCUACACCACAGCCACAGCAAUGCGGGAUCUGAGACGUGUCUGAGACCUACACCACAGCUCACGGCAACGCCAGAUCCUUAACCCACUGAGCUAGGCCUGGGAUCGAACCCGAAACUUCAUGGUUCCUAGUCGGAUUCGUUUCCACUGCACCACAACUGGAACUCCUCUCCAGGGCAUUUACUGGAGCAUAGCUAAUGUCUCUCUCUAUCCUAUUCCAGACCUUGCAUCCAAACCCACUUCUAGGAAGUGAUCUGAACUCAGUCAAUAAACCUAAUAGUAAAUGUAGUAAGAUGAAGAUACUAAACCUAGAAGGGAAAAAAGUGAAAAGGAAAGAGAGAGUCUAAGAAAGAGAAAGGGAUCUUCUCUUAGACUAAGAAAUUCAUGUAAAAAAAAGAAGAAAGAAAUAUGGUAUUCAGUAUCUCAUUAGGCUUCCUUCCUUUAUUUCUUUAGACGAGAGUACUUUGGCCAGUGGUUAUUUUCAUGUCUGGCUUAGGAUUCCUCAUUAUGGAAAAAGAUCGCUCUUAUGAAAAUCCUAACAGGAUUUGAACAAAGGUGACUCUGCAAGUCAGGGUAAAAUCUCUGUGUUGUUUUACACAAUUAAUUACUUCCUCCACAUUUGCUUUAGGAUGCUAUUUCAGAGCCAAGAGAGCCACAGGAAGCACUAAGGCUCCCUGGGAUGAAUAGAUGGACUGUGUCCUGGUGAUCGAAAUUCAUUUCCGAGUUAUUUCCUGAAAUGGUAUUUUGACACCUGGGUCAUCUGUUAGCUUUAUGGAGGUCCUCUGUGACUUGCAAUGACAAUGCAGCUAAGCAAAAGAGCGUUAUUCCACAGGGAGGUAACUUGGAAGUUCAUUGCUGCUUGUCAAACUGGAUUAAGAAAAGGGAAAUGUUGAAGAAGCCAGAUUUACUCAAAUGCAAAAUGAAAAAAGCUUAGUCUACUCUUUAGUUGGGAGGAUCUCCUGCAGCGUAGUUCCAGACUCUACCGUCUACAGCAGAACCUUGUAAGACUCAAUUGAGAAAAAAAGAAUGCCAUAUCUUAGGGCUAGAAGACUCUCAGGAAUCAUCUUUUUCAUAUGUCUUCCACUGGAAAAAAAAUUAUUCUUAAUUUCCUGAUGAGAAAAACCAAGAUGUAGAAGUAAAGUGAGUUAGUCACAAUUAUGCAGUUGGUAGGUGGCAGCCAUCAAUCUCACACCCAAGGCUUCAUCCCAAAUAGAGAGGUAUGUGCCUCUAACUUUUACCCAUAAUCAAUCAGGACUAUUGUUGUCACAAACAAUGAAAUACUCUUUAUCCUGCACUUGGAGAAUAUCUAGAUGUCAGUCAUCCUUGGCUUUCCUAUUAUAAUUGUCAGUGUUUUCUCUUUACUCAUUGGGCCAUCCCCAUGAGUUGGCAGAAUAGGAAGCUGUCAACAGGAUGUGGAUAUCUUCUCAGCUUUCUAGGACCUCCAACACUUGAAAUACCUUCAGCCACAGUCAACCUCUCCCUUUCUUUAUUAAGUGAGAAGAGUGAAAAUGCAUAGCUUUGUGUAGCAGCAUGCUACCCUGAUUAAGAGAACAGGUUUCAUGUUUAGGAACAUCCAUGACCAACUGGCUAUGUCACCUACUAGCUGUGUAUUCUUGGGAAAUUAUGCAUAUAUUAUGAUUUAGUUGGUGUCUUUGUGUCUUUGUUAAAUAGUAGUGCAGCAUCUAUCAUAUGAAGUUAGUGACUGAUUAAAUGAGGUCAUAAGAUGACGGCAUAUAAAACAGAUCCAAUGAGUCCAUUCUGCCAAGAUGAAGAAACAGGGCUUACUCCCCCGGAUCAACUCUUGAAAAUAUGUAGAAGCAAGAAGCUAAUAUGAUUUCCAGAAACUAGUAACAACAAGUGAGGAAUCCCUGGGUAGACUGGUAUAUUGGGAAGUGCAUAGCUACAGGGGCAGUGAGUGGUAAAAUUGGAGGGAGAGGUUACAUUCUGCUCCUGCCUCUCCCAGAAUUAGCAUAACUUUGGACAAUCAUUGCCUGCACCUUUGUGUCAUAAAUCUGUAGCAAGAGCUCAGACCACUAGGGCAGGUCAAAAGUCUUGCUGAGUAACUGAAAAACAGGUUGCAAGGGGCUGGUUGUCCUUGGGCUUUCAUUGCUAUCGCAGCCCUCUUUCCCCAUAGGCUCUCUGUGUGUUAGUUUUCUAUUGUUGCCACAAAUUACCACAAACUCAGUAAUCAGUGCUGUAUAUUAGAGUCUUGGUAUAACAAGGCUUAUUUGGGUUCUCUGAUUAGUCUCACCAGGCUGAGGGUCAGCAAGGCCAUGAUCCUUUUGAGACCCUGGCCAAAUUCAAUUACUUGCAGUUUUGAAACUAAGGCCACGGUUUCUGUGCUGGCUGUCAAGACCAGGGGCUGGUUUAGCUUCUAGAGCCUGCUUCCAUUUCUUCUUAUGCUAUCCAUGCGGUCCCCCUUCCAGUAAAAUGGGUUGAAUCCCUCUCAUGCUUCAAAUUUCUCCAACUUAUUUUUCAUGCUAUAGCUCUUUUGCUUCAGCCAGAUAAAGUUCUUUGCUUUUAAGGUCUCAUGAAAUUAGACUGUGCUUUCUUGGAUAAUUCAGGUUAGUCUCCCCAUCUUAAGGUCUGUAACCUCAAUUACAUCUACAAAGUCCCUUUGCCAUGUAACAUGUUCUACUAUUAUGGCAUGGAUGUCUUUGGGGAGAUCAUUCUGCCUACCACAGCUGGCUUGCAUGUAGGCAUACUUUUUUUUCAACAUGAAGAGCUCUUAGUUAAUCACUUCAUCUCCUGCCUUCAUAUAUCAGUUGCUUCCUCUUUUGUAUAUAUUUUUAACUCUUUCCCCACAGCUCAUUGUCCAAAGCCUAUCAGCAUUUUCUCAUCCUUGCCGCCAUCUUUUAUUUAUUUAUAAAAUAUUUUUGUUAAAGUAUAGUUGAUUUACAAUAUUCUGUCAAUUUCUGCUAUAUAGCAAAGUGUCCCAGUCCUACAUAUUUAUAUAUACAUUCUUUUGCUCGUAUUAUCUUCCAUCGUGUUCUGUCAGAAGUAAUUGGAUAUACUUCUUUGUGCUAUACAGAAGGAUCUCAUUGCUUAUCCAUUCUAAAUGUAAUAGGUUGCAUCCACCAACCCCAAGCUCCCAGUCCAUCCCACUCCCUCCUCCCUGUAGGCAACAUCAAGUCUUUUCUCCUUGACUUUGAGUCUGUUUCUGUUCUGUAGAUAGGUUCAUUUGUGCCAUAUUUUAGAGUCUACAUAUAAGUGAUAUAAUAUGGUAUUUGUCUUUCUUUUUCUCACUUAAUUGGUAUGAAAAUCUCUACUUGCAUCCAUGUUGCUGCAAAUGCCGUUAUUUCUUUCUUUCUUUUUUAACAGCUGAGUAGUAUUCCAUUGUGUAUAUGUACCACAUCUUCUUAAUCCCAUUCAUCUGUCAAUAGACAUUUGGGUUGUUUCCAUGUCUUGGCUAUUGUGCUACUAUAAAUAAUUGGGGUUCAUGUAUCUUUUUAAAUUAUCGUUUAGUCUAGAUAUAUGCCCAGGAGUGGGAUUGCUGGAUCAUAUGGUAGUUCCAUAUUUAGGUUUCUGAGGAACCUCCACAUUGUUUUCAUAGUGGUUGUACAAAUUUACAUUCCCAUCAACAGUGUACUGACCCCCAUCUUUUAAAACUCCUCUUAAUCCUUUAUUUCUUCUUAUAAUUGCCUUUCUCUCUCUUUUUCAUGUUUUCCCCCAAAUACUUUUCUUCUUUCAUUUGCUCAUUUUUCAAUCAUAACAAGGCUUCUGGACCCAGCAACCCAAGGAAAUUUCUCCAUCAAAUAUCAUUGAUGACUUCCUAACUCUCUAACUUAAAUGAAUGAGAAGCUGUGUUUAUAUUAUGCAAAAUAAAUCAUUUCUUACAUUUGAUAUUACCCAUGAUGUCCUUCUUCCUUAAAUGCUCUUAUCCCUUUGUUUUAAGGUCCUCCCUAUUUCCAGAUUUCUUUCAUUCCUCUGACCACUCAUGAGCUUCUCUCAUCCACUCAAUUCUUUAAAUGCUGGAGUUCAUCAGAGUUCUUUCUGACAUCAUUGUCUCUUCUUAGGCAAGCUCAAACAAUUCUGAAUCUUCAGGUUGCCAUCAGUAUGCUUUGGGUUCUCAAAUCUUUAUUGUAAAUCCUAGCUUCUUGGAGUUCCCUGGUGGCCCAGAGGGUUAAGGAUCCAGCAUCAACACUGCUGUGGCAUGUGUUUGGUCCCUGGUCUAGGAAUUUUUGCAUGUUGUGGGUAUAACCAAAAACAAAAUAAAUACAUAAAGUAAAAAAAAAAAUAAACCCAGAUAAAUAAAUGAAUUUCAGAUGCUUUUAUCAAACCACAUACUUGACAUUUGCACUUGAAUUCCUCACCUUUCCCCUAAAUCUUCUCCUCCCCUCUGGUUAUUUAUCUAUGUAUUUAUCUAUCUAAAUAUCCAUUUUUGUAAAGAGAGAUAUCUUACCCUUGAUUCUCCUUUCUGUAACUCCUGACAUGAAAUCAGGGGCCAGAUGCUAUACAGUAGAUUUUUACUUCAUUAGCAUCUGUUGUGUCCUUUCUACUUCAUCCCCAUUGCUAUGCUUUUAUACUAGCUACUAUUUAUUGAGGCUCUUUGCAUAUGAGACAUUAUAUUAAACAUUUAAAAAAACACUUCAGUUUAUCCUCACAACAGUCUUGGGUGUUAGACAGUAUUAUUUCUAUUUUACAGCUAAGGAAACUUAGACACGGCUAGGCUAAAUGACUUGGCCAGGGUUACGUGGUUUCUAAGUAGCAUUCCAGAUCCAUCCAGUUGCUAAAUCAACACUCUUUCAAAUUCACUAUUGCUAUUUACUAUUUGUGCUCUCAGCAUUCUUCUGGAGUGUUAGUUCUCCUGGUCUUCUAUUAAUCCCUUCUCUACUUAUGCACUCAGAAAAGAUUUAUAAAAUGAAAAUUCAAUCGUGUUACUUCCUGGCUUAAAACCUGUCAUUGGAUUCUUUGCCACACUAAUUCUUACCUCUUUGAAUAGUCUCCUUUGUGAUCUGUUUUGUCUCCAAUGCGUUUUCUUAUCUUAUUCCGUCUACUCCAUGCAUCAACUUCUAGCAACUCCCAAACUUGCUUUUUUUUUUAAUUUUGUGCUGCACCUGGGGGUCUCUUUUCCUGUCUGUAUUCUGGAGAAACUCUCACCACCAUUCAACAUAGUUUAGUAGCUCAACUUUCUCAUUGAAACUAUCAAAUGUCUUGGUAGAAACUUUCUAGGCUUUCCCCCUAAAGUGCAAAUUACAUGUUUUUGAGUGUGUGCAUGCAUCCACUAUGCUCUGUACAUAUUUCUUUGGUUGAACUCAACUUUAUUGUACUUGUUUAUUUAUACAUCUUUGCCCUUGUCUUAGAACUAUAAAGUACAUGGAACACAUUAAUUAUAUUUAUAUUCUUAAUACAGUACUUUUCACAUGUAAGGAUUCAAUGAUUGUUAAAUGCUUGAAUUCAUGAAAGAUAGAGACUUGAAGUCCAGACUAAACAGUCUGAAUUUUGUUCUUU